GGUAGGGUAGCCGAAAGUUAGGCGGUGGGUUGUAGCCCCAAAGAUAGAGGUUUAAUUCCUCUCCUUAUCA
rnacentral:tRNA from 3 species